CAUUAAAAAUUUCAUCUAUUUGUACUAUUAAAAACUGGCACAGUUGACGGAAUAACCUGACACUGACACAUGGCAUGUCAUGUGUACCUCAUGCUAAUGAACAAUGACCAAUUUUCAACAGUAGAAAUGGAUGAAAAUUUUAACG
rfam:Gossypium hirsutum cultivar TM-1 chromosome 6, whole genome shotgun sequence